GACGAACGCUGGCGGCGUGCCUAAUACAUGCAAGUCGAGCGAACAGACGAGGCGCUUGCUCCUCUCUCGUUAGCGGCGGACGGGUGAGUAACACGUGUAUCAUCUACUUAUAAGACUGGGAUAAUUUCGAGACACCGGCGCUUAUCGCGGAGAAUCUAUUGCUCCGCAUGGUUCAAUAGAGAAAGACGGUGUUGCUGUCUGUUAUAGCUGGUUCCGGGCUGCAUGAGCUAGUAGGUAGGGUAACGGCUUACCAAGGCGACGAUGCGUAGCCGAGCGGAGAGGGGGAUCGGCGACACGGGAGCGGAGCCACGGUCCAGACUCCUACGGGAGGCAGCAGAAGGGAAUCGUCCGCAAUGGGCGGAAGCCUGACGGAGCAACGCCGCGUGUGUGAUGAAGGUCUUCGGUUCGUAAAGCUCGGUUAUGGGGUAAGAACAGAUGUGGAAGGAGCUGUAGACGGCUUGACGGUACCUAAUCAAGAAGCAACGGCUAACUACGUG
rnacentral:rRNA from 1 species